AACGUAGGUGGCUAGCGUUAUCCGGAUUUAUUGGGCGUAAAGAGGGCGCAGGCGGCCUGGUAAGUCGAAUGUGAAAUCUCCUGGCUUAACUGGGAGGGGUCAUUCGAUACUAUCAAGCUGGAGUGCGACAGGGGGAGGUAGAAUUCCCGGUGUAGUGGUGAAAUGCGUAGAUAUCGGGAGGAAUACCAGUGGCGAAGGCGGCCUCCUGGGUCGUUACUGACGCUUAAGCCCGAAAGCGUGGGGAG
rnacentral:rRNA from 1 species